UGCGAGUCAUUGUAGCAAUACAAGGCAGACGGCUCAGUAACGCGUAGUCAAUCUACCCUAUGGACGGGAAUAACCUCGGGAAACUGAGAAUAAUGCCCGACAGAACAUUAUACCUGGAACGGUUUAUGUUUCAAAUGAUUUAUCGCCGUAGGAUGGGACUGCGGCCUAUCAGUUUGUUGGUGAGGUAAUGGCCCACCAAGACUAUUACAGGUACGGGCUCUGAGAGGAGUAGCCCGGAGAUGGGUACUGAGACACGGACCCAGGCCCUAUGGGGCGCAGCAGGCGAGAAAACUUUGCAAUGUGCGAAAGCACGACAAGGUUAAUCCGAGUGGUUUCUGCUAAAGAAACCUUUUGCUAGUCCUAGAAACACUAGUGAAUAAGGGGUGGGCAAGUUCUGGUGUCAGCCGCCGCGGUAAAACCAGCACCCCAAGUGGUCAGGAUGAUUAUUGGGCCUAAAGCAUCCGUAGCUCGUUUUGUAAGUUUUCGGUUAAAUCCAUACGCUUAACGUAUGGGCUGCCGGGAAUACUGCAUAACUAGGAAGUGGGAGAGGUAGACGGUACUCGGUAGGAAGGGGUAAAAUCCUUUGAUCUAUUGAUGACCACCUGUGGCGAAGGCGGUCUACCAGAACACGUUCGACGGUGAGGGAUGAAAGCUGGGGGAGCAAACCGGAUUAGAUACCCGGGUAGUCCCAGCUGUAAACUAUGCAAACUCAGUGAUGCAUUGGCUUGUGGCCAAUGCAGUGCUGCAGGGAAGCCGUUAAGUUUGCCGCCUGGGAAGUACGUACGCAAGUAUGAAACUUAAAGGAAUUGGCGGGGGAGC
rnacentral:rRNA from 1 species